GCCCAACUGCCGUAGAACCUAACGACCGAGAGAGAUGAAAUGGAGGCUGUCCUUGCCGUCUCCUCCUCACAAAGGAAAUUCUUUCAUCGGAGGAAGCUGGAGGGGCCAGAUGGAGGGCAUAGUUCGGCUGGCAAGCCAAGGAAGAGGGAUUUCCCAAAUCAGUCGUUCUCUACUAUUAAGAAAGAAGCUAAAAUCCUGUCUUA